UCCCUGGUGGUCCAGCGGUUAAGACUCUGAGCUCGCAAUGCAGGGGGCCCAGGUUCAAACCCUGGUCAGGGAA